rnacentral:siRNA from 1 species
CUGGGCAAGUCCAUGGGC